rnacentral:pre_miRNA from 1 species
GGCCACCAUUUUGGAUUCGGGUUAUUGCGAAAUAAGUUGCCCCCUGUAGACACGUUAUUCUGAGAGAAAACCCUUCUCUCAGAAUAACUGUUAUUCCUUGUGCAAUGAGGUUUAACAGUUAUUCUGAGAGAAGGGUUUUCUCUUAGAAUAACGCGUCUACAUGGGGCAACUUAUUUUGCAAUACUCUGAAUCCAAAAUGGCAGCU